AAAAAUUCGAAACGACAUAGUUUGACGUCAGUUGUCUUAUAACAAUUUAUCAAAAUGGCCAAAAUUUACUUUCUUGCAUUCCUCGCACUUCUCGUCUUCAUUGCCGUAUCGGCACAAGAAGAACAAGAUAAGGGACCUGCUCUAGAUAUAAACGAAGAAGAAUAUAGCUGGCCUUGCUCAACAGGUGGAAACGCAUUAUGCAAUAGAUAUUGUAGGAGUAGAGGUACCAGGUUUGGAUCUUGUACUUCAACUAAGAAAUGUUUAUGUUACGUAUAAAGAUUACCACAAUUUAUUACUACGAUGAAUUAAUAACUAUCUGGACUUCAUGAACUUUCAAGAAUGAUAUAAUCAAUAUUAUUAAUUUGUAAUAAUCAAUGUUAUAAUACAUUCACAGAUGAAAUUGAAGAUUUUAUUUUAUUUUGUGAUUUUUUAUUACUCGCACAAUAAAUAAUUUAAUAAUUA